rnacentral:rRNA from 1 species
UGGGGAAUAUUGGGCAAUGGGCGCAAGCCUGACCCAGCCAUGCCGCGUGAGUGAUGAAGGCCUUCGGGUCGUAAAGCUCUGUGGGGAGGGAAGAACAAGCCUGUGGCUAACAUCCACGGGCCCUGACGGUACCUCCUUAGCAAGCACCGGCUAACUCCGUGCCAGCAGCCGCGGUAAUACGGAGGGUGCAAACGUUGCUCGGAAUUAUUGGGCGUAAAGCACACGUAGGCGGCCAAUUAAGUCGGGUGUGAAAGCCCAGGGCUCAACCCUGGAAGUGCACUCGAAACUGAUUGGCUUGAAUAUGGAAGAGGGUUGCGGAAUUCCCGGUGUAGAGGUGAAAUUCGUAGAUAUCGGGAGGAACACCAGUGGCGAAGGCGGCAACCAGGGCCAAUAUUGACGCUGAGGUGCGAAAGCGUGGGGAGCAAA